CUUUUUUAGGUUUUUGUUCAUUUCAAUUAAUAACAAAUUAUUGGACAAGAUUGAAGUGAAAAAGAUGGAAAAUCCUGAUUGACUUAUCAAUUUAUGAAUCAUGAGAAAACAAAGAGCUUAAAGUUAUUUUUAGAAUUUGAAAUCUUAAAUAUAUUUAUGUCGGCUAGUGAAAGCAAAGACAACCCAAAUGUCAAUCAUGUAUCGAAA
rnacentral:lncRNA from 1 species